ACGAACGCUGGCGGCGUGCUUAACACAUGCAAGUCGAACGGAAAGGCCCUGCUUUUGUGGGGUGCUCGAGUGGCGAACGGGGGAGUAACACGUGAGUAACCUGCCCUUGACUUUGGGAUAACUUCAGGAAACUGGGGCUAAUACCGGCUAGGAGCUCCUGCUGCAUGGUGGGGGUUGGAAAGUUUCGGCGGUUGGGGAUGGACUCGCGGCUUAUCAGCUUGGUGGUGGGGUAGGGGCUUACCAAGGCUUUGACGGGUAGCCGGCCUGAGAGGGUGACCGGCCACAUUGGGACUGAGAUACGGCCCAGACUCCUACGGUAGGCAGCAGUGGGGAAUAUUGCACAAUGGGCGGAAGCCUGAUGCAGCAACGCCGCGUGCGGGAUGUCGGCCUUCGGGUUGUAAACCGCUUUCGCCUGUGACGAAGCGUGAGUGACGGUAAUGGGUAAAGAAGCACCGGCUAACUACGUG
rnacentral:rRNA from 1 species